UGUACAGGUGCUGCAUGGCUGUCGUCAGCUCGUGCCGUGAGAUGUUGGGUUAAGUCCCGCAACGAGCGCAACCCCUAUCUUAAUUGCCAUCCAUUCAGUUGGGCACUUUAGAGAGGACUGCCGGUGUUAAGCCGGAGGAAGGUGGGGAUGACGUCAAGUCCUCAUGGCCUUUAUGUCUAGGGCUACACACGUGCUACAAUGGGUGGUACAAAGAGCAGCUAACUCGCGAGAGUAUGCAAAUCUCAAAAAGCCAUCCUCAGUUCGGAUUGGAGUCUGCAACUCGACUCCAUGAAGUUGGAAUCGCUAGUAAUCGCGGAUCAGCAUGCCGCGGUCGAAUACGUUCCCGGGCCUU
rnacentral:rRNA from 1 species